UAUGAAGCGAUGAGAAAGAGAGUACGAUUCUCCCUCUGCAUACAGAGAGUCUGUAACGGUGAGAGCAGACAGCACGUUGAAUCGGAAGUGGACUUUCGAGCUGUGUUUCAGAACCCUAGUAUGAAACACCGUAGCCUUGGCGAUAACAGGUUAAGAGAUCUUAAAGAAUAUCUUUAAGAUAAUUAGGGUGGCACCACGGUUCAUUCGUCCCUACG
rnacentral:ncRNA from 1 species